rnacentral:rRNA from 1 species
UUAAGCGACUAAGCGUACACGGUGGAUGCCCUGGCAGUCAGAGGCGAUGAAGGACGUGCUAAUCUGCGAUAAGCGUCGGUAAGGUGAUAUGAACCGUUAUAACCGGCGAUUUCCGAAUGGGGAAACCCAGUGUGAUUCGUCACACUAUCAUUAACUGAAUCCAUAGGUUAAUGAGGCGAACCGGGGGAACUGAAACAUCUAAGUACCCCGAGGAAAAGAAAUCAACCGAGAUUCCCCCAGUAGCGGCGAGCGAACGGGGAGGAGCCCAGAGCCUGAAUCAGUGUGUGUGUUAGUGGAAGCGUCUGGAAAGGCGCGCGAUACAGGGUGACAGCCCCGUACACAAAAAUGCACAUGCUGUGAGCUCGAUGAGUAGGGCGGGACACGUGGUAUCCUGUCUGAAUAUGGGGGGACCAUCCUCCAAGGCUAAAUACUCCUGACUGACCGAUAGUGAACCAGUACCGUGAGGGAAAGGCGAAAAGAACCCCGGCGAGGGGAGUGAAAAAGAACCUGAAACCGUGUACGUACAAGCAGUGGGAGCACGCUUAGGCGUGUGACUGCGUACCUUUUGUAUAAUGGGUCAGCGACUUAUAUUCUGUAGCAAGGUUAACCGAAUAGGGGAGCCGAAGGGAAACCGAGUCUUAACUGGGCGUUAAGUUGCAGGGUAUAGACCCGAAACCCGGUGAUCUAGCCAUGGGCAGGUUGAAGGUUGGGUAACACUAACUGGAGGACCGAACCGACUAAUGUUGAAAAAUUAGCGGAUGACUUGUGGCUGGGGGUGAAAGGCCAAUCAAACCGGGAGAUAGCUGGUUCUCCCCGAAAGCUAUUUAGGUAGCGCCUCGUGAAUUCAUCUCCGGGGGUAGAGCACUGUUUCGGCAAGGGGGUCAUCCCGACUUACCAACCCGAUGCAAACUGCGAAUACCGGAGAAUGUUAUCACGGGAGACACACGGCGGGUGCUAACGUCCGUCGUGAAGAGGGAAACAACCCAGACCGCCAGCUAAGGUCCCAAAGUCAUGGUUAAGUGGGAAACGAUGUGGGAAGGCCCAGACAGCCAGGAUGUUGGCUUAGAAGCAGCCAUCAUUUAAAGAAAGCGUAAUAGCUCACUGGUCGAGUCGGCCUGCGCGGAAGAUGUAACGGGGCUAAACCAUGCACCGAAGCUGCGGCAGCGACGCUUAUGCGUUGUUGGGUAGGGGAGCGUUCUGUAAGCCUGUGAAGGUGUGCUGUGAGGCAUGCUGGAGGUAUCAGAAGUGCGAAUGCUGACAUAAGUAACGAUAAAGCGGGUGAAAAGCCCGCUCGCCGGAAGACCAAGGGUUCCUGUCCAACGUUAAUCGGGGCAGGGUGAGUCGACCCCUAAGGCGAGGCCGAAAGGCGUAGUCGAUGGGAAACAGGUUAAUAUUCCUGUACUUGGUGUUACUGCGAAGGGGGGACGGAGAAGGCUAUGUUGGCCGGGCGACGGUUGUCCCGGUUUAAGCGUGUAGGCUGGUUUUCCAGGCAAAUCCGGAAAAUCAAGGCUGAGGCGUGAUGACGAGGCACUACGGUGCUGAAGCAACAAAUGCCCUGCUUCCAGGAAAAGCCUCUAAGCAUCAGGUAACAUCAAAUCGUACCCCAAACCGACACAGGUGGUCAGGUAGAGAAUACCAAGGCGCUUGAGAGAACUCGGGUGAAGGAACUAGGCAAAAUGGUGCCGUAACUUCGGGAGAAGGCACGCUGAUAUGUAGGUGAAGCGACUUGCUCGUGGAGCUGAAAUCAGUCGAAGAUACCAGCUGGCUGCAACUGUUUAUUAAAAACACAGCACUGUGCAAACACGAAAGUGGACGUAUACGGUGUGACGCCUGCCCGGUGCCGGAAGGUUAAUUGAUGGGGUCAGCGCAAGCGAAGCUCUUGAUCGAAGCCCCGGUAAACGGCGGCCGUAACUAUAACGGUCCUAAGGUAGCGAAAUUCCUUGUCGGGUAAGUUCCGACCUGCACGAAUGGCGUAAUGAUGGCCAGGCUGUCUCCACCCGAGACUCAGUGAAAUUGAACUCGCUGUGAAGAUGCAGUGUACCCGCGGCAAGACGGAAAGACCCCGUGAACCUUUACUAUAGCUUGACACUGAACAUUGAGCCUUGAUGUGUAGGAUAGGUGGGAGGCUUUGAAGUGUGGACGCCAGUCUGCAUGGAGCCGACCUUGAAAUACCACCCUUUAAUGUUUGAUGUUCUAACGUUGACCCGUAAUCCGGGUUGCGGACAGUGUCUGGUGGGUAGUUUGACUGGGGCGGUCUCCUCCUAAAGAGUAACGGAGGAGCACGAAGGUUGGCUAAUCCUGGUCGGACAUCAGGAGGUUAGUGCAAUGGCAUAAGCCAGCUUGACUGCGAGCGUGACGGCGCGAGCAGGUGCGAAAGCAGGUCAUAGUGAUCCGGUGGUUCUGAAUGGAAGGGCCAUCGCUCAACGGAUAAAAGGUACUCCGGGGAUAACAGGCUGAUACCGCCCAAGAGUUCAUAUCGACGGCGGUGUUUGGCACCUCGAUGUCGGCUCAUCACAUCCUGGGGCUGAAGUAGGUCCCAAGGGUAUGGCUGUUCGCCAUUUAAAGUGGUACGCGAGCUGGGUUUAGAACGUCGUGAGACAGUUCGGUCCCUAUCUGCCGUGGGCGCUGGAGAACUGAGGGGGGCUGCUCCUAGUACGAGAGGACCGGAGUGGACGCAUCACUGGUGUUCGGGUUGUCAUGCCAAUGGCACUGCCCGGUAGCUAAAUGCGGAAGAGAUAAGUGCUGAAAGCAUCUAAGCACGAAACUUGCCCCGAGAUGAGUUCUCCCUGACUCCUUGAGAGUCCUGAAGGAACGUUGAAGACGACGACGUUGAUAGGCCGGGUGUGUAAGCGCAGCGAUGCGUUGAGCUAACCGGUACUAAUGAACCGUGAGGCUUAACCUU